UGUUUUUAAAUUAAGCAUAAAAAAUUUGUGACACUAAGGUUAGUAGUUAAAAAAGUAAAAUUUUAAUUUUGUAGCUAUUAGUAAUAACUUUUACUAAGCAAAUAAAGAUUAAAAAUUAAUGUAAAUUAGCUAGAAACUGUUGAUACUAUGUCGUUUUAAUAGAUGGUGUAAAUGGAAACCCAAAAAAUUUUUGUUAAGUGAAAAAUGUAUCCCCAUGGCCGCUAAAGUUUUCUUCCUCCUUUGAAAGCACCAAAGCUCUCUUCCUUCUCUCUCCUUCUAUCUCUCUUUUUCUCUCUAACAAUGAUCCACCUCACAAACUGCCACUGUCAACCUUGAAAGCCGCCAUUCUUAAGCUAAAAUAUUCCUUUAGAAAAGGCCUAGAAAGUGUUGUGAGGAAUUUGGGUAAAGUUAGGAUUUGAAAAUUUGAAUUAGUAUUGUGGUAACUCAUUAUCUCACUCUAUAUUCUUAUUGUUUAAGUGUUUGUGUUAAUUGGUUGAUGUUUAUUGAGUGUGAAUGAGACCUUGUACUUGAUUGGAAAUCUAAAGCUUUUCCUGCUUAACAUAUAAUUUAAUAUUUAAUAAAAUAAAUAAAAAGGUUGUUGUACCAUAGGCCGAAUUCAAUUUAUUAAUUAAAAGAAUGAUUACAAUCAGCAACUAUACUGCCAAAAAAGAUGUUGCCAAAAAAGAUGUUGACUGGACUCAUCAGAUUCGAAAAAUAACUUCGUGUCGGUCUCAUGAAACAAAAAAGAUUCAGGCUUUUUCUUUUUUUUGAGCAAGAAAGCUCAUCGACAUCAUCUGUAAUAGGACAUUACUGUAACAAACCAACCAUUGGAUAAACAAUUUUUAAAGGAUUCAACUACAAAACAAGCCAAAGAAGUCUAAGUGGAUGCCAAAAGAAAAAAAAUGAAUAAAUUAAAAAAAAGGAAAUGGAAGAAGUAAACUCACCUUUAAAAGUUGCUCAAGAGUAGCUCCUCAGUAUCGCUUUCUUUAUUCUCACUCUCUAAAGUUAAAUAAGUUUCCUCAAUUUGCCUGUACCUAUAUCUGCAGAAGUUUUCUCAUCAAGACACACGAGACUUUCUCCAAGAGAAGUCUUUCUUUGGAAAUGAAGACUUCUUUGGAAUAAAAGAAGUCGGUGAAAACUUGAGAAUAAAAGGUACGAAUAAGGAUGCCAAAUAUCUAGUUAUGGAUGAAU
rnacentral:lncRNA from 1 species